UGGGGAAUAUUGCACAAUGGACGAAAGUCUGAUGCAGCAACGCCGCGUGGAGGAUGACACAUUUCGGUGCGUAAACUCCUUUUAUGUGAGAAGAUAAUGACGGUAUCACAUGAAUAAGCACCGGCUAACUCCGUGCCAGCAGCCGCGGUAAUACGGAGGGUGCAAGCGUUACUCGGAAUCACUGGGCGUAAAGCGCGCGCAGGCGGCUUUGUAAGUUGGAUGUGAAAUCCUAUGGCUCAACCAUAGAACUGCAUCCAAAACUACUUAGCUAGAGUCUGGGAGGGGAAGAUGGAUUGUGGG
rnacentral:rRNA from 1 species